rnacentral:rRNA from 1 species
UACGUAGGGUGCGAGCGUUAAUCGGAAUUACUGGGCGUAAAGCGUGCGCAGGCGGUUUGGUAAGUCGGGUGUGAAAUCUCCACGCUCAACGUGGAGGGGCCACUCGAUACUGCCAUGACUCGAGUCCGGUAGAGGAGUGUGGAAUUCCCGGUGUAGCGGUGAAAUGCGCAGAUAUCGGGAGGAACACCGGUGGCGAAGGCGGGUCUCUGGGCAGUAACUGACGCUGAGGAGCGAAAGCGUGGGGAGCGAACAGG